rnacentral:lncRNA from 1 species
AAUACUCGAAUCCUAUUAACUACCCAAAUAAUUUUAAAAAUUACUACUUUAACCCUAACCAUAAUACAUUUUUACUAACCUAUAAUUACCCUAACUUAUUUAAAACUCGAUUAAAAUAAAAAAAAUUAAAAUGUUCUUUAUGGGUACCAACAAUGGAGCAACAAUAAUAGAGGAUCGGAGCUAUUGGCUAGGGGAAGGAAAGAAUGGCUGGUUGGGGGAAGAAAGGAAGAAUGAGCAACUCGC